CCCUCAACUACAUAUUUCAGUGUAAAGAACACAAAACAGUUGGAGUGGCAGUUCCAAUCUCUGGAAUAUUUUGUGUGACGAUCAUUUUCCUUGUUUUUGCACUGUUUAAGAUAUUCCAAAACGUCCACUGUCGCUCGUUUGAAUCCAUCCACACCCCUGCCACUGAAACCCAGGACUCACCAAUACAUACAACUUAUUCCAAAGUCUGAGACCAUUGAAUACAACACAUAUCAUUUGAUUUUCUUCAUGUCUUAUUCUGCCUUGCACUUAAGAUAUGAUGACAAAAAAGUUGAGGCUGUAUAGGAAAUCAUUUAAAAACAUAAAAGUGGAAAGAAAACAUUUUCAGUGCAUAAUUAUAUAUUUUUGUUGAACGUACUGCUGAUGAUGCUUGUAAAUCCAUAUUAUGCCUUUCAAUGUGGGUUAUGCUUGCAUACAUAUGAAAAAUGUUAAUUUAAAACAAUGCUAUUUUCUGUAGAAUUAAACAAUAUUGAGUAA